rnacentral:rRNA from 1 species
UACGGGGGGGGGGCUAGCGUUGUUCGGAAUUACUGGGCGUAAAGGGCGCGUAGGCGGUCUGCUAAGUUGGAUGUGAAAACUCUGGGCUUAACCCAGAGCCUGCAUUCAAUACUGACAGGCUAGAGUUCUGGAGGGGAUAGCGGAAUUCCUGGUGUAGAGGUGAAAUUCGUAGAUAUUCGGAAGAACACCAGUGGCGAAGGCGGCUCACUGGCCCGGUACUGACGCUGAGGUGCGAAAAGCGUGGGGGAGCAAACAGG